UAUCCGGAUUUACUGGGUGUAAAGGGAGCGUAGACGGUUUUGCAAGUCUGAAGUGAAAGCCCGGGGCUUAACCCCGGGACUGCUUUGGAAACUGUAGAACUAGAGUGCAGGAGAGGUAAGUGGAAUUCCUAGUGUAGCGGUGAAAUGCGUAGAUAUUAGGAGGAACACCAGUGGCGAAGGCGGCUUACUGGACUGUAACUGACGUUGAGGCUCGAAAGCGUGGGGAGCAAACAGGAUUAGAUACCCUGGUAGUCCACGCCGUAAACGAUGAUUACUAGGUGUUGG
rnacentral:rRNA from 1 species